rnacentral:rRNA from 1 species
AGCGAACGCUGGCGGCAGGCUUAACACAUGCAAGUCGAGCGGGCAUCCUCGUGGUGUCAGCGGCAGACGGGUGAGUAACGCGUGGGAACGUACCCUUUGGUUCGGAAUAACUCAGGGAAACUUGAGCUAAUACCGGAUACGCCCUUAUGGGGAAAGGUUUAUCUGCCGAAGGAUCGGCCCGCGUCUGAUUAGCUGGUUGGUGAGGUUACGGCUCACCAAGGCGACGAUCAGUAGCUGGUCUGAGAGGAUGAUCAGCCACACUGGGACUGAGACACGGCCCAGACUCCUACGGGAGGCAGCAGUGGGGAAUAUUGGACAAUGGGGGCAACCCUGAUCCAGCCAUGCCGCGUGAGUGAUGACGGCCUUAGGGUUGUAAAGCUCUUUUCUCCGGGACGAUAAUGACGGUACCGGAGGAAUAAGCCCCGGCUAACUUCGUGCCAGCAGCCGCUGUAAUAC